rnacentral:rRNA from 1 species
AGAGUUUGAUCCUGGCUCAAGACGAACUUUGGCGGCGUGCCUAACACAUGCAAGUCGAACGAAGCUUGACGAAUGAUUUCUUCGGAAUGAAAUCUGAUAUGACUGAGUGGCGGACGGGUGAGUAACGCGUGAGCAACCUGCCCUUCGGAACGGGAUAGUGUCUGGAAACGGACAGUAAUACCGUAUAACGUAUUUUUACCGCAUGAUAGAAAUACCAAAACUGAGGUGCCGAAGGAUGGGCUCGCGUCUGAUUAGAUAGUUGGUGGGGUAACGGCCUACCAAGUCGACGAUCAGUAGCCGGACUGAGAGGUUGAACGGCCACAUUGGGACUGAGACACGGCCCAGACUCUCUACGGGAGGCAGCAGUGGGGAAUAUUGCACAAUGGGGGAAACCCUGAUGCAGCAACGCCGCGUGAAGGAAGACGGUUUUCGGAUUGUAAACUUCUGUUCUUAGUGAAGAAUAAUGACGGUAGCUAAGGAGCAAGCCACGGCUAACUACGUGCCAGCAGCCGCGGUAAUACGUAGGUGGCAAGCGUUGUCCGGAAUUACUGGGUGUAAAGGGAGCGUAGGCGGGAUGCCAAGUCAGCUGUGAAAACUAUGGGCUUAACCCGUAGACUGCAGUUGAAACUGGUAUUCUUGAGUGAAGUAGAGGUUGGCGGAAUUCCGAGUGUAGCGGUGAAAUGCGUAGAUAUUCGGAGGAACACCGGUGGCGAAGGCGGCCAACUGGGCUUUAACUGACGCUGAGGCUCGAAAGUGUGGGGAGCAAACAGGAUUAGAUACCCUGGUAGUCCACACUGUAAACGAUGAUAACUAGGUGUGGGGGGUCUGACCCCUUCCGUGCCGCAGCUAACGCAAUAAGUUAUCCACCUGGGGAGUACGACCGCAAGGUUGAAACUCAAAGGAAUUGACGGGGGCCCGCACAAGCGGUGGAUUAUGUGGUUUAAUUCGACGCAACGCGAAGAACCUUACCAGGGCUUGACAUCCUACUAACGAAGUAGAGAUACAUCAGGUGCCCUUCGGGGAAAGUAGAGACAGGUGGUGCAUGGUUGUCGUCAGCUCGUGUCGUGAGAUGUUGGGUUAAGUCCCGCAACGAGCGCAACCCCUAUUGUUAGUUGCUACGCAAGAGCAUUCUAGCGAGACUGCCGUUGACAAAACGGAGGAAGGUGGGGACGACGUCAAAUCAUCAUGCCCCUUAUGUCUUGGGCUACACACGUAAUACAAUGGCGUUCAACAGAGGGAAGCAAAACCGCGAGGUGGAGCAAAUCCCCAAAAAGCGCCUCAGUUCGGAUUGCAGGCUGCAACCCGCCUGCAUGAAGUCGGAAUUGCUAGUAAUCGCGGAUCAGCAUGCCGCGGUGAAUACGUUCCCGGGCCUUGCACAAACCGCCCGUCA